AGGACGCUAGACUGGAGCUUGGGCGCCGCUGAGACCCGCAGGCCCUAGGGGUGGAGAGGAAGCCAGAGCCUUUCCUUGUGUUGACGCCCAGCAAGCAGAUCACGGGAAUUUAUGAGAAUGCGCUCUCUUUAUAAUAUAGCCAACAACUUUAAUUUAUAAAACGUAGGGUGUCUUUGGAGAAGAGCAAACCUUUGAGAGAUGCUGACCUCAUAAAAGAUGUGAGCUGUGGCGUCUUGAGGAAGCCGUGCUGUGUUAAAAGGUCCUGACAAAAUACUAUGCUUUAGCUGAGUUCAAGAUCCUGGUAGACUCCUCCAAGUUUUGCUACAUCAUUGGGGUGAUUCAGAGCAGUUCAAGAACCAU
rnacentral:lncRNA from 1 species